rnacentral:rRNA from 1 species
GACGAACGCUGGCGGCGUGCUUAACACAUGCAAGUCGAACGGAAAGGCCCUGCUUGCCGGGUACUCGAGUGGCGAACGGGUGAGUAACACGUGGGUGAUCUGCCCUGCACUUCGGGAUAAGCCUGGGAAACUGGGUCUAAUACCGGAUAGGAGCCAUUUUUAGUGUGAUGGUUGGAAAGUUUUUUCGGUGUAGGAUGAGCUCGCGGCCUAUCAGCUUGUUGGUGGGGUAAUGGCCUACCAAGGCGGCGACGGGUAGCCGGUCUGAGAGGGUGGACGGCCACAUUGGGACUGAGAUACGGCCCAGACUCCUACGGGAGGCAGCAGUGGGGAAUAUUGCACAAUGGGCGCAAGCCUGAUGCAGCGACGCCGCGUGGGGGAUGACGGCCUUCGGGUUGUAAACUCCUUUCGCUAGGGACGAAGCUUUUGUGACGGUACCUAGAUAAGAAGCACCGGCUAACUACGUG